rnacentral:pre_miRNA from 1 species
GGAUUUAGGUUUGAUUCAAAGUCCUUUGAAGUUAAUGGGAGGUUUCCCAUUGACCUCAGGGGGCUUUGAAUCAAGCCCCUAUUCU